UAAAGGAGAGAUCCGGCAUAGGAUGGACAUGCGUCGCAUUAGGUAGACGGCGGGGUAACGGCCCACCGUGCCGACGAUGCGUAGGGGUUCUGAGAGGAAGGCCCCCCACACUGGUACUGAGACACGGACCAGACUCCUACGGGAGGCAGCAGUGAGGAAUAUUGGUCAAUGGCCGAGAGGCUGAACCAGCCAAGUCGCGUGAGGGAAGAAUGUCCUAAGGAUUGUAAACCUCUUUUGUCGGGGAGCAAAAAGGCUCUGCGGAGUCGUAUUGAGAGUACCCGAAGAAAAAGCAUCGGCUAACUCCGUGCCAGCAGCCGCGGUAAUACGGAGGAUGCGAGCGUUAUCCGGAUUUAUUGGGUUUAAAGGGUGCGCAGGCGGCGUGUCAAGCAAGCGGUAAAAUAGCGGGGCUCAACCCCGUCGAGCCGUUUGAACUGGCGCGCUUGAGUUCAGGCGAGGUAGGCGGAAUUCGUGGUGUAGCGGUGAAAUGCAUAGAUAUCACGAAGAACUCCGAUUGCGAAGGCAGCUUACCAGUCUGCGACUGGCGCUCAGGCACGAAAGUGUGGGUAUCGAACAGGAUUAGAUACCCUGGUAGUCCACACAGUAAACGAUGAGCGCUAGGUGUCCGGGUCGCAUGAGACUUGG
rnacentral:rRNA from 1 species